UUGUAUUGGAAAGGGUGGUUAUGCUGAGGUUUACAAAGGGUGUUUGCCAAAUGGUCAGCUGGUAGCGAUUAAAACGCUGACACGUGGUACAAAAAACGAAACUAUAGGUGACUUCUUAUCAGAACUUGGUAUAAUGGCUCAUGUAAACCACUCCAACACUGCCAAGUUAGUUGGCUAUGGGGUGGAGGGAGUAAUGUAUCUAGUGCUUGAGUUGUCUGAAAAAGGGUGCUUAGCUUCAAUGCUUAAUGGUUCCAAGGACAAACUACCAUGGUCUAUUAGGCAGAAAAUAGCAUUAGGAACAGCUAAGGGUAUAAUGUAUCUGUUAGAACAAAGUAGAAUGUGAAUGAAAGUUUGAAAAAAAAGAAAGAAAAAAAAUGGUUUGCCAUAAACUAUUGUUACAACAGUAUCUUCAUGAAGGUUGUCAGAGAAGAAUUAUCCAUAGAGAUAUAACAGCGGCAAAUAUCUUGCUUACUGAGGACUUUGAGUCGAAGCUUUACGUGGGCUGCCACAUUGAAGGCAAGGGUCCUUAAGGAGGUUUGGAACAUAGCAGCUGUGUUUCCUGUGGAGAAGAAUUUGGCCGGUGGCGGCGGCGGCAAUGAUAAUGGUAGCAAUGGUAGCUCUAAUAGUAGCUUCAGUGGUGAAAUUGUACUAGAAGAAAAUUUCUUGGGGAUUUGUAGCAGAGAAUUGCUAGCCAGAGGAUGUGAACUUCUCAAGCGCACACGCACUGGUUUAGAUCCAAACUGCCACACAAACGAUGUGCUCCAGGCGGGGAUAAACCUUGGCAAAUAGCUGGUUCUGCAUUGCAAAUGAUGUGGGAUAUAAAAUGGUUUGAGUCCAACUGUCUAAGACGAUGGUGGCUCAUGCAUAAUUGGUGGGUCAAAUGGUCAAUCCUCAAACUUACGACAUACAAACGGAUGAUGAUGAUAACAUUGUUCUCCAUAUAGCAGCAGAAACAGCAAAAAUGAUACGUGAAAAUCUUGAUUAGCUCAUUGUAUGCUUGGGAAUCCUAAUGCUGAUGUAUUAGUCAAAAACUACUGCCAAGUUGCAGCUCUGUGCACUCAUUGUCAUUAGAUUUUGAUAAUUUAUAUCACUUGCAAAGCAUGACAGCAAGUUUUCUUUUGGAUUGAAUUUCCUUUAAUUUCUAUAUUAGUAACACUGGAGGUGAAGUAAAAAAAAGUAAUCAAUUACCAGGACAGAAGAAUUUAUCAGCCAAUUUCUCAAAGGGGGUCCUGUCGUUGUAAAUAUACCUGCAUCAUUAUCAACACAAGCAUAAGAUUGUUGUGUGUGUU